AUUUUCAUAGUUUAAUUAAAACGUUACGCUGAAAAUGUAGAAAUAUUUUAUUUGAAAAUA
rnacentral:tRNA from 1 species